ACGAGACUGGCGUACGGGUGCGGAACACGUGCGCAAGCUGCCUUUAUCUUGGGAGGAUAGCCUUUCCGACACAGGGAAAGAUUAAGUACCCCAUAAUAUGUUGGCAUGGCAUCAUUCGGACAUUGAAGAACUCCGGUGGGAUAGAGAUGGGCACUGCGCAAAGAUUAGAUAGUUGGUAGAGAGUAACGGCUCACNCAAGUCUACGAUCUUUAGGGGGCCUGAGAUGGGUGAUCCCCCAAACGUGGUACUGAGACACGGACCANACUCCUACGGGAGGCAUGCAGUGAGGAAUAUUGGACAAUGGGUGAGAGCCUGAUCCAGCCAUCCCGCGUGAAGGACGACUGCCCUAUGGGUUGUAAACUUCUUUUGUAUAGGGAUAAACCUACCCUCGUGAGGGUACUGAAGGUACUAUGACGAAUAAGCACCGGCUAAUUCCGUGCCAGCAGCCGACGGUAAUACGGAGGGUGCAAGCGUUAUCCGGAUUUAUGGGUUUAACACGGGUCCGUAGGCGGAUCUGGUAAGUCCAGUGGUGAAAAUCUCACAGUUAAUUGUGAAACCUGGGCCAUUGGAUACUGGCAGGUNCNUCGAAGUUGUUCGGUU
rnacentral:rRNA from 1 species